rnacentral:lncRNA from 1 species
UAGGGUCUUAACUGGGGCAAAAAAGUGCAGUUCGAGGCUCUGGAAAACCAGUUUUUUGCACUGCGCUGUCAGGAAGAGGUAGCAGAGGCAGCUGUAUAUGAAUCAGAUCACCUGCUACUCUCAACUGGAGGAAAAAAAAAAAAAAAAGAAAAAAAAAUAGAAAAAUAGUCGGAAAAAUACAUUACAGUCCUACUGGUGGCAGAAAGGUGAGGCUGCAGUUCCUCUGUUGGGCUUUAGGUGGCUGCUCUGCACCACGCGUCCCAACCACAAGACUUUGGGGCACCUCCAAGGGGCUGUGGGUGAUCAGUGGUGAGAAGGAGGGCAGGAAGGCUUAAGCUGCCCUCCCAGGGGCCUUCACCCAGUCCAGGAUCACCUACACUCACACCUCUUCCCCUUCCGCAGCAAUUAUAGGGAAGAAGAUUGAAUGGGAGAAUGGAAGAUAGCAGGGCUUACCUGUGGAAAAAAAUAGAAUGGUACUGUUGUAUUUUGCAGAAAUCCUGUGCAGAGCUGAAGGUGAUCUCUAACACAUUUUCACCAUUUUUGCCUCUAGGCAAUGAAGACCACUUCCAAACCAUUCAUCACAGAGCUUUUGCAUGGGCUUCAUAUGCUGCCGUUGUCACUCUGGAAUUGCUGGAUCAGCUUGAAAAAAAUGAAGCGUGUAGAGGUCCUCGUAACAGACAGAAAAGGAGGGGUUUGUGGGAUGAGGCGCAGGCAUGAAAGACACUGGUGGGAGACAAAAACGACAACUGGAUUACAGCUGCCUGCUGGGCAAAUUGCUGGCUGAAAGGACGUCGCUGCAUAUACAGAUGCCUCAGCAUCUACAGUCGCUGUAUGGCUGCUUACCCCAGCUUCCGUUCUGCACAGCUACAAAGGGAGCAGAAUGGCAAAAGGAGCACAGUCCCAUGCUCCCAAACACACCUCCUAAACACCCAUGGGCAGCAGCGCCAGGGAGCAUCAAGUUGUUCCCAGGAAGCAGUCAUGGCUCUGGGUUGUUAGUGACUGCUGCACGUUGGCUUGGUGGUCAUUUGGCAUUGGCGGCCCGUGGCACUGAGUGCCACAGCACUGCGCAGCUGAGUGUUGGAAGUCCCCACUGGCAAUAUCAUGCUCUCUGCUCCAUCUAUGGAGAUGGAUGAGUCCAAGUGGAUCAGCACGUCCUCAGGCACAAAAUCUUUGCAUGAGCAAUGCUAAGGAUGGAGGCUGAAAGAAGAUAGAAACACCCAUCUCUGUUUGAAAGGCAGAACUUCUAGUGAAGCCAAGCAAAAUCUCAUAACCCCAGGGAAACCCUAGAGCCUCCUUGCAGCUCAGCUGACAUCCAGAUAUUUAUGGGCCGUGUAAGAAGAUUCAGGCCACUUUAUCUGCAUCCGCUUUCCUAUUUCACCCUUUCUUUGUGGCUGCUCAGCUUUGAUGGCAAUAUGCUGUUAAACUGCCACUCACUCAGCCUUUUUUUGUGUGCCUCCUUGCCUGGCUUCCAGUCAGUGGUCUUUUCCAUAUCCUACUCCUAUUCCUCCUGCGGAACUGGGACCAUCUCAUGCUGUCCAAAUCCGAGCACUGGGCUGCUAAUAGACACCGCUGAUGUACAAUGGAAGAGCUUCUCCAUAACUCCCUAUCACUAAUCAGUGAGCAUGUUUGACAUCCCGGCAGUGCGGUGCUUCACAACAGCUAUCGAUAGUGCUUCCCCGUGCUGAAGGAAAAUGGGAACCUGCAACACUGGCAUUACAUCACAGGCAGUGGCUGGUUAUUGAUGUCAUCAUUCCUGUCACUUGCCUGAUAUAUACUGCCUGCAGUGACUUACCUCCGAUCUAUAGAGGCUGGCUCCUGGAGGUCUGCCUUCCAGUUAGCAGCGCCGGCGAGCAGCAGCACCUGUGUCUCCACGCCAGACAGCUGGCACGCUCCAUGCAUGCCACCGCGCACCAUCUGUGCCACACAUCACGUGCCAGUUACGUGACUGGGGAGAGUCAGGAGGAAGAAAAAUAUUUGCUUCCAUGAAUCCUCCUACUGAGUAAAGUUCUUGUAGCAGAAGUUUUCCAGUUCCUGAGGAUGCUGCUGACUGCCUUUCCUUUCUUGCUUAAGUCUCCACAGUGCUGAAAAUGAAGUCCAAGAUGUGUGUUCUGCACGUUUGCCAUUGCAACUCGAGGAGACAGAGCUCAGAUGAAGUUCCAGCUAGGCAAGAGACCAAAGUUCACCCUACCCACAGCACUGCAGAUUGCUGCACAGCCCCAUCUUUGUGCACUGGAGAAGCAAAGCACGCGAGGAGGGAGCGCGCUCCCAGCUGCCAGGGGCUGACAACCGAAAGGUGCAAUAUGGGACAAAGCAGAGCACAGAGAGUGAUGUGGGAACGUUAACACUUGUAAGACCCUUCUUUGCAGCUCUGCUGGUUUGCCUUACAUGCUAACAGAUGUGCAGGAAUGUCCUCGGCUCGCCAUCGCUUUUCUCUCCAGCAGAAUAUGACUGACAACAGAACACCAGGGAACAGCUGGGUCGAAACGCAUAAUAUUUUCCUGCUAGAGAAGGAUGCUGAUUAGGCUGCGGAGUACCUAAUUGGGUCUUGGCCUUGAAUGAUGGAAAACUAAAGCCAGGAGGAGCACACCAAUGAGCAGCACCAUGUUACCAGCAGAGGUUCGGUGGCUGGAGGAGCGGAACAUUAGCACAUCCCUAAGGCCAGGAAGUUCAUAUGAAGUUUCUGAACCUCCACUUCGGCCCUUAGGGAGAAACAGCCCGGAAAUAAGGUGAAAGUGUUCUGAAAGAAACGAGGAAAUCUCAAAAGGGAAAAAAAAAAAUAGCACAUUAUAGAAAUACUGGUAAAUAAAAUAUAACCAACGAGCAGCAUGGGAAGCAGGUUUAACCCACUACACACCAGCUUUCCUGUAGUGCUAGCCAACUGAAUGCUGAAUGUAGAAUAUCAAGUAUUAUGGCUUAUAUGUAUUACUGCCAUAAAGUGUGAUACGAACAUGAAUCAAUUAAAUUAGAGGAAAAAAUAGUGCACAAAGAACAAAUGUAUGAAGUCAUUGCUCUUUGAGUCCUUUGUAAUAGCUGACCCUGAUGAAAAAUAAAAUAAAAUAACAUAAGGGCAGAGAUUCAACAAGAAAAACAACAUCAAUAUUUAAAAAGUUAGAUUUUGGAAAACUGUUGUGGCUCAAGGGGCUUUUGUUGUACAAUUCUGCAUUCGUGUGACAGAUGCAAUUGCCAGACCUUCCCUUGGUCUACAGGAAACCUGAAAGUGAUCAAUAUUUUAUUGGUACAGAUACGUAAAUUUACCUAGUGCUUUAAAACACCUCUAAGACCAAAUCCAGAGGUGCUGAGGAACUCUACUCUUAGGAGACUGAAGUAGAUGUUGUGUCUUUGGAGCUUCUUGAAACAGUGCUUUACAAAAUCAGAGCUCUUUGUUUCAGAUGCGGACAAUGGCAGUUCCAACCCAACCCAUGACCUCUGCCUUGAAACAUGGUGGGUCAGCCAGGAGGUGAGGAGGUGGGGUAAAGCAGAUGAGCUGGAUGAGGAAUACGGUGACAAACUAACUGGUGGGAAGAAGUUGCAGAACAGUGGAGAUCCCACCGCCAUUCAGCCAUGAUGGAGGACGUGUUUUCAGACACAGCCCACUCCUCCUGCCAAUUUGCUGGGGUUGCAGAAGAAAGAGGAGGAAGAGGAGAAGGAGGAGUGGCCAGUGGUGGUGGUUGCUCUGGCUGCAGCAGCUGUGGAGGCCCUGCUAAUACAGUAACUUCCUUAUCUCAGGAAACCCAAGUGGCUCCAACAAGAGAAACAGAGUAGGACAAUCCAGGAGAAGACAGCUGACUGCAGUGUUUACUAGACUGCGGAAUAGACAACUUACAUUGUUAAAAUUGAUCAGAACAUGUUCCACUGGAACUAAGCAGAUAAGAAUUACUUCAUUCUUUUUUGCCCCUGAGCACCCUAGGAGACCUGUGUUGGAUCUGGGCUUUGUCUGCUUGAAAAAGUGGAAGGGUUGACCUGCUGAAGGGAGAGCCACCAAAGCGCUCCAACAUUACUAUGGUCUUAUAAUGCCUGAGACAGAUCACAAGAUUAACUCUUAUAAUCAACAACAAGAUCAUCAAUUUGUACACUAUAUAAAUUAAAGUGCAUGCAUAUAAAUCUGCAACCUUGAAUAAUACUGUCACAGCUUCUGCUUUGUUUGUUUUGUGCAGCUUCUUGCUUUGACCAUUUCUUGCUUUGACCAUGAAUAUGCCUGCUGGGUCUGGUGCAUGAAAUCCCUUCCAAGUCCUCCCUUUUGCUUCACGAUGAUGCAGAAGGUGACUCUUCAGUAAGUAACACAAAAUGAUUUUAGACUUGUAUAAAUAAUAUACACGUUCUGUCUCCCUUUGAUUGAAUGAUGAAUAGCAUUUAGAGGGAUUGAUUUGCCGGCAGGAGCACUCGGCGGUGGCUGGAACAGCUUGUUCUGCCCUUGGAUCUCCCAAAUGAGUUCCGCAUCUCCCGCAGCUUGGUCUUCUGGUGCUCCUCCAGCACUGCACAAGUGCUUGGCCUUGGCUUGGUCACCUUGCCCCAACACACCCGUGUCUCAUGUCCCUGCCUGCCCAAAACGCCUUGCACGGCAGCUCGAUCUGCUGCUCAGAUGGCACCCUCUUUAUUUUCUUUGAUAUUUAACAGAAAAUAAUUCUGCAGUGAGCUUUAUUUAAGCAGCAGGAUAGAUUAAAAAAUGAAAUAUGUUUAGCAAGAUUUGGGGGAAAGGCUGGAGUAAUUAAUUUUCAAUAAUACCUGGCAUUUCUAGAACUCCUUUCAUCCCGAGAUCACCAAACAGUUUACAGACAUUAAUUAAUUAAAGCAUUAUGAUGCCCCAGUGUGGGGCCAUUGCCUGCAUGUCUGACUCAGACAAACUCUCCCCAAAUCCCCGGACGGGCAAGCGCUGUGCACUGCGGUGUCUGCACCAGAACUAUACCCAGGAGUAAAUACCGCUCAGCUUUCCUAAGGUUUGCACUCUGUGGCCCUACGUAAAUAUUUUCCAGUGAGUUUGAUUAUUUGUCUUUUAUUCUCUAUCAGGAAAGCCCCAAAUAUCUCAGUAAUAAAAUUUCCAGCGUGUGUGUGUGCAGGAGGACAGUUCUGAUGGUUAUUUUUUUGAUUCAGCUUCACAUUAAAACAUCUCUGCUCUUGAAACUCCCAUUGCAGGCUCAGAGCUGGACAUGUAUUUUAAGGUUUGAUUUUGGAGUGAGCUUGCUGGGCAUUUUUGACAGCACAGUAAAUUCCAUGGGAAGAGAAGAGGUGUUCAAUGUUCACCCAGAGGGAUGCGCAUAGCGUCACACUCCUGGAAAUCACCCUGAAGUACAAGUUCAGUGAAAUCUUAUGAAAGCUGUAGAUUAUACAAACUUUCAUCACUCCAAUGAUUUGAUUCAUGAACGCAUAAAUAGAUAGAUAGAUAGAUCCAUCAAGGAAAUCCCAAGGGAACAAUGCAAUGGUGUUUGUGAUUGGAAAAAUAUUAUAAAAGAGCUCACGUAGAGCCAAUAGUUAGGCAGUUUUGUAGCGCCAAGAUAAAUAGAGAAGAAAUAGCAUUUCAUGAUCACAUUUUUAAAGGAUGUUGGAAGUUACCAAAGCAGGGGAAAUCCUGUAGGGAUUGCCUAUACUCAGGUGUGUUCCCUUGUGGUUCUGCCACUGGCCGGCCACCUGUGGCCCCAGUGCUGCCCCAGGACUAUGGAAUAAUGAGAUGGCACUUCGUACAUGGGCAAUGCUCUCGUAUGAAGGGUUUGAUCUCAUCUCUCAGCCAUUCAGACACUGGAUGAUGUUCCCAUUUGCCAUAAGACCUUCCAGUUCAGCUGGGAUAUUCAGCAGCUGUCUCCUGGAUCAGUCCUGAAGGAUGCAUUUGUAACAGAAGAAUGGAAAAAAUGAACUGAUUUUUUGUUGUCCACUUUCCUCCUGGAUUGGCUAUUUUCAUAUAAACCAAAUGAAAAUUGAUAGCAGUAUGGAAGUCCCUUUCACUCCAGGUUACCAGGCUAGCAUCUAGCCAGAGGUUGGGCUGGUUAAGUCUGCCGCUUCUAAUUUUUUAUUUAUUCCAACUUUGUAUUUAUUCCAACUCAACACUGGGGUGAAAAAAAAAAAAAGAGGCCACUCAUUGGCAGAGACAGGAAUUGGAGGAAAUGCUAGGCAAGUGCUACAGCACCUUGGUGUCCCAGCAGCUCCCACUGGGAGGGCAUCACCCAGUGUGCUCGGCAUGGAGCCACAUGGAAGUGUGUGGAUAUAGAAGGGCCCAUGUGUGCUAGGGAAGGUGCCGUUCCAAGCAGGAAGCUCCAGCGGAUGGUGGGACACUGCUGGCUUGUUGACUGUGUGGAAAGCGUAUCACUGGGGAGCACCACGACGAGGAGGUAUGAGCAAAAAUUCUUAAAUAAACACAAGUGACAUUUGGCAUAUAAAUAAGAUAGGGAAUACUCUUGCACAAGCAGCACAGGUCAACAGCUAUCUUUUAUCUCCCAGAGUAAAAUAGGUUGCUUUAGAAAUAUAAAAGCACAAAGUAGUUGUGGAAGGGGUGGUGGAAGGCCCCGGCUGGUGCUGCUGCGGGCACUGGUGCUGCCCUUGAUGGCACAGCUCGGCCCCUGGCUGGGCGCCUCUGCAACUUCCCUGCUUGAUUUUUUUCCUUGCAUCUGAUUAAUGCAUAACAAGUCCCUUCAGAGAGUAAAUACUGAUCUGAAAUAGCACAGUAAACAAAUAACACGGGAACAGGCUUCGAGUGUCUGUGUACAUACGUCUAUAAAAUGCAUCGCAUACGCACGCGUGCCCACGUUGUUAUUGUGUAGGUUAGCUAAGGGGAUUUACCUCCUUUUUAAUAUUUUUGAAGACUGCUUUAUGAUCCUGUUGACCCGCUAUUAGCAAAAGCUUAGCUUUCAACAAAGGUAAUUAAAUUAUAAAAUCACUGCUGCAAUCAUCAAACUACUCAUAAAACAAGAAAUGAAAAAAAAAAAAAAUACCCUGAAAUAAAAAUCUUGCAGGCUUCUCCUCGUGUAAUAUUGCUCCCUGAUGUUAAUUACAUUUAAAUGGGAGAGUACUAUUUUGGUAUCAUUCAUACGCCUCCAAAAGUACUUUCCAGUUUAUCAUACCUGUCAACCCCAGUGCAUCACAGGCUAAUACUUUAUUAAGAAAAAAAUCAUUAGGGAGCUGCUGAUCCCAUUUAAGUACAUUGGGCAGAAUGUAAGACUAAUUAAAAAGCAUAUUUUUACAUUAUUAAUUUCUGAGUUUCACACUUAAUGAAUGUGAAAUGACAGGGCUACUAUUUUUAUAUUCAGGCUCUCUGGGCUCUUCAGCCAGGGGAAUUAAAUUCUGGGGAUUUUUGCAAAGAUGCUUCUUGGGAGAUUUGUUUUCAAGAACAGCUAAGCUUUUUUAGCUAUGCCUUUUUCUGGGAAAUUAUACCAAAGCAUAUUACAGCCACUUAAAAAGAGUGGUUAAAUAGAUGUUGUGUUGGGUUGUUUUUUUUUUUUUUUUUUUUUUCCAUCGUGCUGCUAUAAAAGUAUUUUAGAUGAGGUAUAAAAUAUGGUUUUUAAAUGAUAUUAUGAUUUGCAAACACUAAAAAAUAAUUGCGGUGGAGUUGAGAGAGAGCAAAAACAUCUAAUCUUUAUUGUGUAAGACAAUGUGAUAAAAUAUUUUACAGCCAAAAGCUCAUUUUGCAUCUGGAAAAUUGUGCAAACUGAUGGGGGGAAAAAAUCUCAUUAAAACUAAAGGUUAUUUUUAAUAUUCCUCAAACAAAGCAACGCAUUAUAACCGCGUUUCUCCUCCGCGUAUUUAUUAAAUCAGACAAUUGUACGAAUGUCUGACGCUCUAUUUAAAUAAAGACAUAAAACGGCAGAGGCUGUGUGAUCAGGCAGGCUGAGCUGGAUUUAUACCGGCUUUUAGAGACCACCGGAGUCAAAGCACAGCACCGGUGUUGGAGGGGUUUGCUUGUUUGUGCUGAGCAGUCGCAGCAUUACGGUUGUUAUUAAGCAGGAGGGGUUGCGGUAGUGGAACCUGUGCGGGGUGAGGUUGGCACUGCCGUCCCUGCAAGCACGACACAGCACAGCUCACUUUUAUAGGGCUGUGCAAGGAGGAGUGGAGAAAAGCUUUUUUCCUCCCCCCCCCCCCCCCCCCUUCUUUUUUUUUUUUUCCUCUCUCCAAAUGUGCUUACAAUUACCUCUCUGUAUUUUUAUUGUCUUUUUACUAACCACAAAACUCACACUGGAGGCAAAGCUUAACGGCUGAGGCUUUCCUCAUGUAAAUAUUAGGAAAUUACAUUUGUACAAACUGCGCGGCUUUGUAAAGGGGGCUGGAGCCACUCCAACACAAAUUAAUCAGGAUAAAGUUGCUCUAUGUUCAACAUGACCAUAGUUUAUUUUCUUAAAGUAUUAAUUUGUCAACAGCUUUCCUGCCUCGCUGUGACUCAUAUGGAUGGCAUUGAGGGAAGACACAGAUGCAAUCUUGCUGCUAUACCUUGUGGCCUUAGGAAUGAGCUCUGGUUAAUCAAAACGUGAUUGUGUUUAAUUUCUCAAUAUAUGUUUCCAUACAAAAGUCGAACGGCUGAGAUAGGAAUGCAAACCAAUGUUUAAAUAUUGUCUUCCCUUAAAAAAAGAAGGAAAAAAAAGAGAAAAAAAAAAAAAAAGGAAAAGUGUGAAACUAUUUUAACUGUUUACUAAAUGCUUUGUGUUACUUUGUACUUUUAGGUCCUUCCCUCCUCUGCUGCCUCCCCCCUCAGACCCAAAUAAACAAAUAAGCGCUGCCAAGAGCUUUUCAGCUGGUGUCCUUUGCUGCCUUCCCUCCUCAGCCAUCCCCUGCGCUGAAAGCAAUGCUUUCCAGCACGUCUCUUCUCAUUCUUCUGCCUUUGCUCGCUGGUUGUUAUAUCACACUAUUUUUAAUUAUAUCUUGAUUUUCGUAACAUUAUUGUAUGUUGUUAUGUUUCUAGAAUGCAAACGUGAGCGUAAUGGGAUCUAUUUUUCAGAGUUGCCAAAACAAAUUAAGGAAAACGCUCGGCUCUUCCUUUGCCAAAUGUUUUAGUGCUUUUCCGUGAAAGCAAAUCUUAUUUCUAACUGUAUAUUAAGCCUUAAGUAAAUAAUGCAGUCUGUCAGAAGCAAAUUCUAUUGUAAAAGCAGUAACUGUUCCCAGGCUUUGCCUGUGAUGCCCGCACGCUGCUCUGCCCGGGAAGGACUGGGCUAGCAAUGAAUUACUGCUCAUUUCAAUCUGCCUUUCACAGAAACGUCUAACUUUUUUGUUUACACUGGACCCAGAUCCCAUAAAUAUGGAGUAUCUGUUGCGGCCGCUCCACGUCUGCCCAGCUGACAUGGUUUGAGGUCCACUGUGAACCAAUCUGGACUUUUUUUUUACCGUCAUAUCCAUCAAAACGACCAGUAGCCAUCAACCUACUGCAGCGAUCGAUUCGUUUGCUUAUUCUCACGCAUAAGCCAAUACUCAGCUCACUAGCUGAACUCCAUGAUUUUGACUAGAGGUGACAGCUGAAAAGCACCAGAAACCCUUGGAAUUUCAGAUCUAUAUAUUACUAUAAAGGAAGAAAAUAAAGUUCCGCUAGUAGAAGACCUUGGAAGGGUGUGUGUCCUGAACAUUUUCCAUUGUGGAGAAACGCAACAAAUAACAAAGUGCAGUCAAAGCUAGCCCUGCUCCGUGAUGAAUUUCAAGGAGCGUGACCAAUAAUCUUCUACUUAUCUUAAAAACCCUAUGGAAGUACUAGACCAGUUCCAACAGAAGUGAGAGCAAACUGUGGGAAAAAAAAAACCCUCACAAAAAAGCCAUCUGUCUGAGAACAACCCGAGAAUCCUAAGUCCACCCAAGUAGUCACUGCGUGUUUUUCUGCACUGCUAAUGGAUUGCAUAUUGUUGAAAAUAUGAAUUACAGAAUAAAUCAGGAGAGAGUGACAAUUACGGGUCCGAUUCUGUUCUUGGCUGCGGUGGCAUUAUUGACCUAAUGUUGUUUUCUGCUAUUGUGGGGCACAUAGGAUAAUUAUCCAAUUUAAGAACAACUCCAGACCGAAGGAGUAAAUGGGAGCUGUCUGAAGGCAGGGACUGCCAGAGGAGCCAGGCUGACAGUCGGUGAGGUUCAGACCACUGUAGGCUGUGGAUUUUCCCAAAGCUUUAUACGCUGCUAUUAACUCUGCCACAUAUACUCCAUGGUAUGAAAUACAUGUCUUAAAUAU